rnacentral:rRNA from 1 species
UGCAGUCGAGCGCGGGAAGCGAGCUGAUCCCUUCGGGGUGACGCUCGUGGAACGAGCGGCGGACGGGUGAGUAACACGUGGGCAACCUGCCUGUAAGAUCGGGAUAACUCCGGGAAACCGGGGCUAAUACCGGGUAAUACUUUCUUUCGCAUGAAGGAAAGUUGAAAGAUGGCUUCUCGCUAUCACUUACAGAUGGGCCCGCGGCGCAUUAGCUAGUUGGUGAGGUAACGGCUCACCAAGGCGACGAUGCGUAGCCGACCUGAGAGGGUGAUCGGCCACACUGGGACUGAGACACGGCCCAGACUCCUACGGGAGGCAGCAGUAGGGAAUCUUCCGCAAUGGACGAAAGUCUGACGGAGCAACGCCGCGUGAACGAUGAAGGUCUUCGGAUCGUAAAGUUCUGUUGUUAGGGAAGAACAAGUACCGUGCGAAUAGAGCGGUACCUUGACGGUACCUAACGAGGAAGCCCCGGCUAACUACGUGCCAGCAGCCGCGGUAAUACGUAGGGGGCAAGCGUUGUCCGGAAUUAUUGGGCGUAAAGCGCGCGCAGGCGGUUCCUUAAGUCUGAUGUGAAAGCCCACGGCUCAACCGUGGAGGGUCAUUGGAAACUGGGGAACUUGAGGACAGAAGAGGAGAGUGGAAUUCCACGUGUAGCGGUGAAAUGCGUAGAUAUGUGGAGGAACACCAGUGGCGAAGGCGACUCUCUGGUCUGUUUCU